rnacentral:rRNA from 1 species
GAUGAACGCUGGCGGCGUGCCUAAUACAUGCAAGUUGAGCGAACGGACGAGAAGCUUGCUUCUCUGAUGUUAGCGGCGGACGGGUGAGUAACACGUGGAUAACCUACCUAUAAGACUGGGAUAACUUCGGGAAACCGGAGCUAAUACCGGAUAAUAUUUUGAACCGCAUGGUUCAAAAGUGAAAGACGGUCUUGCUGUCACUUAUAGAUGGAUCCGCGCUGCAUUAGCUAGUUGGUAAGGUAACGGCUUACCAAGGCAACGAUGCAUAGCCGACCUGAGAGGGUGAUCAGCCACACUGGAACUGAGACACGGUCCAGACUCCUACGGGAGGCAGCAGUAGGGAAUCUUGCACAAUGGGCGAAAGCCUGACGGAGCAACGCCGCGUGAGUGAUGAAGGUCUUCGGAUUGUAAAACUCUGUUGUUAGGGAAGAAAAGAUGUGUAAUAAACUGUGCACAUCUUGACGGUACCUAAAGAGAAAGCCACGGCUAACUACGUG